UUUUCUUUCUUUUCCUUAGUUCCUCACCCGCGCCCUAAAUUUUGCCCCGACGCCGCCCCUUCCUUCUCUCCCCCAACCCGAUCGGCUUCCCCAGCCGACGGCGACGCCUCCUCUCCCCCGCAUACAAAGCCCCUCAGCCAAGGAACUCGAGCCCUCUCUCUGUGCGCCGACUCCUCCCUCUUCCAUCCUUCUCCUCUUCGCGUCGCUCCACCCGACGCCACUGCCGCUCUCCCUUCUUCCCUCCGUGCUGCCACCGACCACCACAGCCGACGCCGACUCCCGAUCCGCCCGUUUCCCCUCUCUUCCUCAGCCAUCUCCGCACGGACGCACCCCGGCAGAGCACCCCCUCACUGAUCAGCCCGUCGUCUUCCCAAUCUGCUCAGGGUGGUUUUCGGACAGGAGCAAGGAUCCGAACCCUAACUUGGUUGGGGUUGAUCGUGAGCGGAUUUUCCGACGGUUUCUUCUUCCUCCCGUCCUCUGGAAUCUAGCUACUACCGGCGAUCUUUGCUUGGUUGAUCUCCACAGCCCUCAGAUCUAGCCCCGCCGGAGAGGGAACUGCCGAUUGGUGACAUCUAGGUAGUGUCGGCCACGAAUCUUUGGUAGCUGUAUUGUUCGGAAAGCAUUGUCCGGCAGCUGCUCUUCCUCUUCUCGGCUGUGAGUCAAUGGUUGUGACUUUGUGUUGAGGACUCUGAUUCGUGACGAGCACUUCGACAUAGAGAUUGAUUAGCUCGAUCUACAUUUAAGG